rnacentral:rRNA from 1 species
GAUGAACGCUAGCUACAGGCUUAACACAUGCAAGUCGAGGGGUAGCAGGGUAGCAAUACCGCUGACGACCGGCGCACGGGUGAGUAACACGUAUCCAACCUUCCCAUAACUCGGGGAUAGCCUUUCGAAAGAAAGCUUAAUACCCGAUAGUACUUAUAUAGGGCAUCCUACAUAAGUUAAAGAUUUAUUGGUUGUGGACGGGGAUGCGUUCCAUUAGAUAGUGGGUGAGGUAACGGCUCACCAAGUCUUCGAUGGAUAGGGUUUCUGAGAGGAAGGUCCGCCACAUUGGUACUGAGACACGGACCAAACUCCUACGGGAGGCAGCAGUGAGGAAUAUUGGUCAAUGGGCGAGCGCCUGAACCAGCCAAGUAGCGUGAAGGAUGAAGGUCCUAUGGAUUGUAAACUUCUUUUAUAGUAGAAUAAAGUGAUCCACGUGUGGAUUUUUGUAUGUAUACUAUGAAUAAGGAUCGGCUAACUCCGUGCCAGCAGCCGCGGUAAGAC